rnacentral:lncRNA from 1 species
GAACUUCAGUCUCUUCUCUAUAAUCAGACAAACAUCAAAAUCACUGCAGUGGAUAAGAGCUUUCAGUAGAUCUAGAGCUGAAUAACACCAGUUCAUAUACCAUCAGCAUCCUACCAUCAUUUGGUUUCUACAACGUCUAUGACAACUUCUUUCACUCUAAAAUUACAAUUAUUAGAGCCAGGAAGGGGGAACAGCUUUUCGGUUUCACUAAAACUUUCAGAUUUCAAAUUCUUCCUUUCUGCACAAAGAAAAAAGCAAUGCCUUGCAGAGCUUCCAGGGAGGUAGCAGAUCUCUGGAACAGCCCACUGCUGAAGAAACUCACUAAGACUGUUCCAAUAAACACUCAUUACCAAUAUCAAGUUGGGCAGGUAACCUGUGAUUCAGUGUUUGCUGAAUUUUAGAUGUCCAAAUGGUUUCAGGUUCUUCCAAAUAUAGAUUAGACUGCCCACUAUUAAUAUACUAAGAUUUAACUAAAAAAAAAUAAAAAAAUAAAUAAACAUUCCCA